AGUCCCGUUAGUGAUUACGGCGGUACAAGAUGUGUACCAGGUUUUGCUAAAGGUUGGAAACCAAGGGUUCAAUGUGGUACUUGGUUUGAGAGGAGGUUUGUUGUGAAUGCAAACAAAGUCCCACAUGAGAAGUCUAGACAAAUAAUGUCUAGUAUAUAAAAGGAUGUCCAACUCUGAUUAGUACGAGGCCUUUUGGGAAGGAGCCCAAAACCAAAUCCAUGCGGGCUUUGCCUCCGGGCCGGACAAUAUCGUACUAAUCGGACAACGCAGAGUUGGACAUGGGAUUUAAAAAGCCUAACAUUCCUCUUCUUCCUCUGAAAUCUUAAAUUACUGUUAUAUUAUGAUUGUAGAGCUGUGAUAUUUAAGACACCGGAGUCUAUAU
rnacentral:lncRNA from 1 species